UACGAAGGGGGCUAGCGUUGCUCGGAAUCACUGGGCGUAAAGCGCACGUAGGCGGACUUUUAAGUCAGGGGUGAAAUCCUGGAGCUCAACUCCAGAACUGCCUUUGAUACUGGAAGUCUUGAGUUCGAGAGAGGUGAGUGGAACUGCGAGUGUAGAGGUGAAAUUCGUAGAUAUUCGCAAGAACACCAGUGGCAAAGGCGGCUCACUGGCUCGAUACUGACGCUGAGGCGCGAAGGCGUGGGGAGCGAACGGG
rnacentral:rRNA from 1 species